GAAGCACCAAGGGCCACUAUUGAUUGUAUCAGUGGUUCAAACACAGGUACUAACAGCAAAGGGGACCUCAUCAUCUUCAGAGGACAGUCUAUGCCCUUUUAAAGUGAAUUUCGAGGUUCUAUACAU
ensembl:snoRNA